CCCUGCCUUUUGUACACACCGCCCGUCGCUACUACCGAUUGAAUGGCUCAGUGAGGCCUUCGGACUGGCUCAGGGAGGUCGGCAACGACCACCCAGAGCCGGAAAGUUGGUCAAACUCGGUCAUUUAG
rnacentral:rRNA from 1 species